CCCAAGGCUACACAAAGAAAGCUUGUCUCAAAAUCGGGGGGGGGGGGGCAAGAGUGUGAGUAGGAAAACAAACAAAAAAGAAAGAAAGAAAGAAAGAAAGAAAGAAAGAAAGAAAGAAAGAAAGAUUUCUUGAUCAUGAAAAAAACAAAGAAAAUUUGAUAGCUACAAUAUGAAAGCACAUAAAAGCUUUAAAUAAGGCACAGUCAAAUACUAUCCAAAGUACAGUAGGAAGAGAAAAUGGGGAGUAUAGGAGGAAAAAAGAGAAGAGGUGGAGGGGGAAGAGGGGAGAGGAGGAAGAAAGAAGAUGAAGUAUUAAAGCAACUUGGUCCUUAAAUGUUUGGGUCUCCCAGCAGUGGGCCACUGUCAGGGUCUGCUGAACUUGUAGAUUCUUGUCUUUCCUGUGGUGAACUCUGGUGUUGGUCCAAACAGGACCCAGUCUCUGCAAGGUAAAAGUUAUAUUGUUAUUUAGUUCACUGGGAAGUCAUGGGGCUGGAUUAUACCAACUACUCAUUGGAUUCAGCUUCCCCUUGGACUAUAUUUGGGGAAAGCUGCCUUACCGCUAACCUUGAGCUCAGGGGGAGAAGCCUAGAGGUCAUGGAGGUCAUUGGUCUCCAUAUUCUCUGUGUCAAAGAAUGUUAAAUGAAAAAAUUUAAAUAAAAUACAUUUCUUUUUAAAAUCACUUGUUUGUCAUCUUGAUGUGACUAAUUUAUUCUUAUAUGUUUAUAGAAUGUAUACAUUAUUCCUAUGUUCAGUAACUUUGUGAUAUUUUGGCACUUCACUUAAAUCAAGUGGACAUUAUUUUCCAAUGCUAGGCUCCAUUGCUGGGAUACAUAUCACCUCAUAGGUUAAAUACAAGAUGUCAGCAAUCUUUUUAAAUAAAAAGCCAGAUAAUAAAUACUUUAAAUACAAGUCAUACAGUUUCUAUUAAAACCACUCAUUGGUGCUUUUGUAAUACGAAAGUAACUAUAGAUUAUAUAAACGCAGGAAUAUAACUAUCCUAUUAAAGCAUUCCAUAUAAUUUUAAACAUAUCACAAAAUGUAUUUCUCUUUUGAAGUUUUCAACCAUAUGCAAAUGUAAAUGUUUGUAAGCCAUAGAAACACUGAAAGUAGCCAUAAUUAGUUGCUGGUAACAUAGUUUCCAGUUAAUAUUCCUGUGGACUUCCACAAACUUUAAACAUUUCCUGCCUGAUACUCCCAUACACUUUUCUGGGGAAGAAUGAACAUCAGGAUGUUACCAAUGCCAGAAAUCCAGUUUCUCAGGUAAUUUGGGAUAAUUUUGAGUUCACCUAAUUAUAUGUUCUAAUACCCUAGAUCAGGGCAGGAAAGUAAUAAUUAGUUUUCAUUUGAGUCAGUGGCUGGUUCAGUUAAUCUUAUGUAGAAAUAACACUGGACUUGUGAUGGAAGCCACUCACCCUCAGAGAAAAAUUGAAAGAAGUAAUUAGCAAUUUUACCUUGCCUGAAAAGUGAAAUAGCUAUAUAAGUAUUGGCUGUAAUAAGUUACCUGGACCUAGCUUUAUUCAAACCCAGUGAGACAUUCACAGAGGCUGGGCCGAGGCUGAUGCUAAGAAACAACGCUUGCUUGUACCCUUUAUUCAACCAACUCCAUGAGGAUAUUUCAAAAUCCACAAUUUGGGUUACACACAAGUUUUUCAGAUUUCUCUCUCAUUUAAAGUGGAGAACUGUAAAGUGAUACAAAAAUAUCUAUGAAAUGUCACCCGCCCACUCUCCACUGUGCAUACCGAAAAGCGCAAAUCAAAACCCACAGGACUGUUUAUCUGGCUUAUACUUCAAAAUGCUCAGCGGACCCUGGAAGGCCUUUAGCUGUCAUCAUCUGGAGCCUUUUCCCUGCUCAUCACAGAAGCCAUUUGGAAUACACGAAAGAGUUCAUUUCUAUAUUGACAUAUCUUUUCAUAGAAGAUUCCAGAAUGUUAAAAAUAAAUAAAUAAACCUUUUCAUCGGUUACUAAGUCUGACUUCCUUUUUCCUCCCUCUCUUUAUUCUUUCUUUAUUUCUCCUGAGUAGGAAGAGCAGGAAGAGGAAAGAAAGAAACCACCUACCUCUCUCUCCCUCUCCCUUCCCCUCUCCCCUCUCCCCCUCCCCUCCCCCUCUCUGUUGUUGUACCAUGGAUCAGAUCCAGGGCCUCAUGCAGACUACAACUGAGUUGUAUCCCAGGCCCUAACUCUGCCUACUUUCCCACCCUUUCCUAAACUCCAUGGCUGCCAUACUUAUAAAAUCGUUUGAGUAAGGAUUUCAGUAUCCAAUCAGGAAGUUCUUGCUUUACCUCUGAAAGCAGGUUUCCUUGAAGCCACUUGACACCCUGUGUUCUGACUGAGCGUGUCCCCCUGGGAAGCCUGUGCUUUCUCAUUGGGGGGAUAAACAUCUGUGCUUCCCUUCUCCAGCUUUUACAGGAGCUGUGGCCCGCACACUCCAGCCAUCUGUGAGCCUAGGAGAAUCAGUCUGAAUUCCAUUUGUUUCUAUCUGGCCAACGAGCCAGUAGGUGUGACUUGGUGGUUUUGGAGUCGAAUGUUGCCACAUAACUCAAGGCUUUUAUUAUUCUUGUGGAAAAAAAAAAACUCAAGCUUUACAAAUUCCUUCAAUGUCGCAAUUGAAAGCACUUCAAAUUGAACAUUUUGUAUCUGCCCGAUGGGUCUGACCCUUUAUUUCUGACUUAGCUAUCUCUAGAUUAUGCCAACAUAAAACUGACCCAGUCUCAAAUGAGAUACUAAUUUACCUUCUAGGGAAAAUUUUGAUUUUAAAAUUCCAGUUUUCCACUGCUUGUCACAAAGCGCUUUAUCUCACAGCAAGACUCACCCUUAUUAAUAUCCUUCCUGGCAAAGCGUUUUACAGAUGUGGAAAAUACCAUAAGCAAAUGUAGUGAUUUUCCUAACAGUUGUCAGGAAAGUGUGUAUUUUGUGAAUUGGAAGGUUUUAUUUAUAGUCUUUGAGUUACACCCCAUCUUGGAUUUUUAACAUCAUCUUAAACUAUUGAUGUUAAACAGAAUCUUAUGGCCAGCUCACAUCUGUCUAGACAUUAUAGAACAUUUCAAGAAGCAUAGCUGGAAAGAGCACAUUUUUUCCCUCCUGGAUUUUCAUAUUGAAUUUCCACUUUUUACCUUAAAGUGUAAAGUCGCCUCCUAGUGUAGUUCCCAUAAUUGGAAUUUGACAUUUUCCCAUCUUCUAUUUAAAAUGACAUUUCCAAGGGAUUUUGGACAGGCCCGUCAUGGUGUCAACUAUUCAACAGGAGCCAUAUUUUCACUUUCCAAAGGACUCCUCCAUGGGUUCCUAAAACAGGUUUUCAUAAAGUCCACUCACUUUAGAUCUAAGACUUAGCCCUUGGAAACAUAGCUGUUGGUAAAAACACCUAGAACUCGAUCUAUGCAACAAUGUUUCCUUUGAAUGACCUUUCUACACAUGUGUAUAGAAAUGUGUACAUCAUGUUCAUAUAUUUACAGUCUGUUACUGUGUUUUGUCCCCUUCAUUCACUAAUUCCCAUCCUACCUCAUCCUAACUAGUCUUCUUUUAUUUUCCUUCCCUCCCACCUUUCUCUCUCUCUCUCUCUCUCUCUCUCUCUCUCUCUCUCUCUCUCUCGUGUCUGUCUGUCUGUCUGUCUCUUUCUCAUCCAUGAGUUUCACUGGAGGGGUCUACAGGAACAUCAAUAAACAUUUGUUUACAAGAAUAUGGAAACUUGCCAGUGGCUAUGCCACUGAUGAAAAUAUCUCUCCCUCCCUCCCUUCCUCCCUGUGUUAGGGUUUUGUAAAGAAUCAGAACUGAUAAAAAAAAAAGCAGAUUUAUUAGAUUGGCUUAAAGAUGCUUAAAGUCUGGGCACUCCAGCAAUGGCUGUCCCACACUGGAAAGAUGGGGAAUCGGUUAGUUGCUCGGUCCAGGAAGAUUCCUGGGGAGAUUCUAGUCUUCAGUCCGUGUGGGAAUACUAAAGGAGUAGGUUCCAGUAUCAUUGAUACAGCAACAGGAUAGACAGAUGGACUUGCCGUGAAGAAUGAGAACAAGCAUGCAGAAAGAAAAGUUCCUUCUUCCGUGUCCUUUUAUCCAGGCUGCCACCAGAAAGUGCCACCCAGAUUCAAGGUGAUUCUUUUUGCUUCAAAUAAUCUAAUCAAAAAAAAUCCUUCACAGAAACAUCGAGCACCUUGUGUUUUAGUUGAUCCUGAAUGCUGUCAAGAUGACAAACAAGACUAUCCAUUAUCCUCCCCAAUCAACCACUAAUGAGCCCUGCUUCCACAAAAGCAUUCUUAUUGGCCCUACCUUGUGCAGGCCGGCACACUCAGGAAUUCCUUUGGUUCUCCUUUUAUCUGCUUGUUCGGUUGUCCUAUCUCUUCCUGCCUUACUGAGGACUUUGUCAUUCUGGUUUCUCUCCUACCUCCUCUGCUUGUGACCUACAUUUUGCACAGUGGCGUCUGGAGAUGGUAUCAUUUGUCCCAUGACUUCCAUAAGUACGUCUCCAGGUCUUGUUACCUACAAGUUCCAGAUCUACAGGGCUCUCUCUAAACCACCUGCUUCCCUAAGAUGCUGUGUUGGUUCUUUGGCUUUUUGGUCAGUGUGAUACAAGCUGGAGUCUUCUGAGAAGAGGGAACCUCGUCUGAGAAAUGCCUCCAUCAGACCGGCCUUGGGCAAGUCUGUGGGGCAUUUUCUUGAGUUAUUUUCAACCUGGGAGGGCCCAAUUCACUGUGGACAAUGCUACCUUUGGGCAGAUGGCCAUAAGUUGUAUAAAAAGGGUCAGGCUGAACAAGCAAGCCAUGGGGCUUGAACCAGAAAACAGUCCCUAUGCUUCCUGCUUCGGUUCCUGCCUCCAGGUUCCUGCUUUGAGUUCCUGUCCUGACUUCCCAUCACGAUGGACUGUAAGCUAUAAGAUGAUGCUAUAAGAUGAUGAAAUAAAUGCUCUCCUUCCUAA